UUCCGGUUGAUCCUGCCGGAGGCCACUGCUAUCGGGGUCCGACUAAGCCAUGCGAGUCAAGGGGCUCCCUUCGGGGAGCACCGGCGCACGGCUCAGUAACACGUGGCUAACCUACCCUCGGGUGGGGGAUAACCUCGGGAAACUGAGGCUAAUCCCCCAUAGGGGAGGAGGUCUGGAAUGAUCCCUCCCCGAAAGGCGUAAGCCGCCCGAGGAUGGGGCUGCGGCGGAUUAGGUAGUUGGUGGGGUAACGGCCCACCAAGCCUACGAUCCGUACGGGCCCUGAGAGGGGGAGCCCGGAGAUGGACACUGAGACACGGGUCCAGGCCCUACGGGGCGCAGCAGGCGCGAAACCUCCGCAAUGCGCGAAAGCGCGACGGGGGGACCCCGAGUGCCCACGCUCUGCGUGGGCUUUUCCGGAGUGUAAACAGCUCCGGGAAUAAGGGCUGGGCAAGUCCGGUGCCAGCAGCCGCGGUAAUACCGGCGGCCCAAGUGGUGGCCACUGUUAUUGGGCCUAAAGCGUCCGUAGCCGGCCCGGUAAGUCUCUGCUUAAAUCCUGCGGCUCAACCGCAGGGCUGGCAGAGAUACUGCCGGGCUUGGGACCGGGAGAGGCCGGGGGUACCCCAGGGGUAGCGGUGAAAUGCGUUGAUCCCUGGGGGACCACCUGUGGCGAAGGCGCCCGGCUGGAACGGGUCCGACGGUGAGGGACGAAGGCCAGGGGAGCAAACCGGAUUAGAUACCCGGGUAGUCCUGGCUGUAAACUCUGCGGACUAGUGUCGCGUCGGCUUCGGGCCGACGCGGUGCCGAAGGGAAGCCGUUAAGUCCGCCGCCUGGGGAGUACGGUCGCAAGACUGAAACUUAAAGGAAUUGGCGGGGGAGCACUACAACGGGUGGAGCCUGCGGUUUAAUUGGAUUCAACGCCGGGCAUCUUACCAGGGGCGACGGCAGGAUGAAGGCCAGGUUGACGACCUUGCCAGACGCGCCGAGAGGUGGUGCAUGGCCGUCGUCAGCUCGUACCGUGAGGCGUCCUGUUAGGUGAGAUAACGAACGAGACCCUCGCCCCUAUUUGCUACCCUUCUCUUCGGAGAUGGGGCACUAUAGGGGGACCGCUGGCGCUAAGUCAGAGGAAGGAGAGGUCAACGGUAGGUCAGUAUGCCCCGAAUCUCCUGGGCUACACGCGCGCUACAAAGGGCGGGACAAUGGGCUGCGACGCCGAGAGGCGAAGCCAAUCCCGAAACCCGUUCGUAGUCCGGACUGAGGGUUGUAACUCACCCUCACGAAGCUGGAUUCCGUAGUAAUCGCGGAUCAACAUCCCGCGGUGAAUGUGCCCCUGCUCUUUGCACACACCGCCCGUCAAACCA
rnacentral:rRNA from 1 species